rnacentral:lncRNA from 1 species
GCUGCAUCAACCGCUGUUUCCAUCGUCGAUGCUAUGAGGUCCCUUGUAACUCCUACACCAGAAGGAGAUUGGUUCUCUACAGGGGUAAUUUUGCAGAGUAUUUUUUGGAUUUUUCCGUUGUUGUUUUGUUCGUUCUGUCGUGCCUCUGAAGCAAAAGGCAAAUCAUAGGUUUAUACGACUGGAAACCCCUACGGCAUAGCAGAGGACAUCGUGUUCAGCAUGCCAUGCAGAUCAAAGGUAUAAUUUCAUACUGAGAAAAUCCCCCUUUGUUUUUCUUCAUGAUACCAUGGACACCACUGCAAUUGGCACAUGACAUUU